AAGACUAUAUUUUCAGGGAUCAUUGCUAUAGUUCAUUACUAGAGAAGUUCCUCUGUGUAGAGCACCCGAAACCACGAGAAGGAGAUGCAGUGUUCUCUCUUGAGCAUGAAGCCACUUUUUGGUGUUGCUUUUGCAAUUGCCAAUAGCCAUUGAUGAUCAUUCUUCCCUUACUUUGGAAGAGUAAGAGGGAGAGAAUGCAGUCUGAGUGGU